rnacentral:lncRNA from 1 species
AAAUUAUAUGUGCUUAGGGAAAAAGGGGAGGGAACCAUCAUGCAAUGAUCAGUGUCGCUCUCACAUUCACAGCUAAGUGCAAUGCUCAUCAUUCAUCAAAGAUGAAUGUGCUCCCCCAAAGGCUACUGCAGUGACCCACAACUGAUCAGACCACGGAGACCAAGUGAUCAUGAGGUUCCCAACCCCAACUGGCACAGCUGCAAUGCAAAAUCUACACACAUGGUGUAGGAUUAUAAGAUCCAGGGGACCAGAAUGCCUGCUGCUAACUAGUGUCUUCUAAACAUGACGAUGACGAUUUAUAAACGAGUUUAAGGAGGCAUUGUUUUGUGUCCCUGAGGUUGUGAUUGAGGUUAAAAUUAAGGACAAGCACACAGAGAAACUGACUUCGAAAGAGAAAACAACUGCCAACAUUUGAAGCUAUCUUUCCACCCAAAAGACAUCUUAGAAGGACCCAGUAUUAGUUCUGUCAGCCUGACAACAUUUCGAUGAAGUGACAAUGGGCCUUCCUGUGACAUUAUAACCCGAAAGCUAGGAGGAGAUGGUGUAGUAAGUUGUACCUCAGGUGCUUAUCUUCACAGGAAGGCAUUAAGAGAAAUGCUUGAACAUCUCUGAGCCGAUGAGUGUGGAGAGACUCCCCAUAUGGAUAAGGUUUCUUCCAGGUCAUAAAUCCCUCAGGCAACUACAUGACUAGCAGAAUGGCUUAUCUGCUCCAGGCUACAUAUUCCAAAGACACAGAAGUGGACAAUGAUGGUGGAGCUGAG